rnacentral:rRNA from 1 species
UGAACGCUGGCGGCGUGCCUAAUACAUGCCCGUCGAGCGAACAGACGAGGAGCUUGCUCCUCUGACGUUAGCGGCGGACGGGUGAGUAACACGUGGAUAACCUACCUAUAAGACUGGGAUAACUUCGGGAAACCGGAGCUAAUACCGGAUAAUAUAUUGAACCGCAUGGUUCAAUAGUGAAAGACGGUUUUGCUGUCACUUAUAGAUGGAUCCGCGCCGCAUUAGCUAGUUGGUAAGGUAACGGCUUACCAAGGCGACGAUGCGUAGCCGACCUGAGAGGGUGAUCGGCCACACUGGAACUGAGACACGGUCCAGACUCCUACGGGAGGCAGCAGUAGGGAAUCUUCCGCAAUGGGCGAAAGCCUGACGGAGCAACGCCGCGUGAGUGAUGAAGGUCUUCGGAUCGUAAAACUCUGUUAUUAGGGAAGAACAAAUGUGUAAGUAACUAUGCACGUCUUGACGGUACCUAAUCAGAAAGCCACGGCUAACUACGUG